UGGGGAAUAUUGCACAAUGGGCGCAAGCCUGAUGCAGCCAUGCCGCGUGUGUGAAGAAGGCCUUCGGGUUGUAAAGCACUUUCAGCGGGGAGGAAGGCGAUAAGGUUAAUAACCUUGUCGAUUGACGUUACCCGCAGAAGAAGCACCGGCUAACUCCGUGCCAGCAGCCGCGGUAAUACGGAGGGUGCAAGCGUUAAUCGGAAUUACUGGGCGUAAAGCGCACGCAGGCGGUUGAUUGAGUCAGAUGUGAAAUCCCCGGGCUUAACCCGGGAAUUGCAUCUGAUACUGGUCAGCUAGAGUCUUGUAGAGGGGGGUAGAAUUCCAUGUGUAGCGGUGAAAUGCGUAGAGAUCUGGAGGAAUACCGGUGGCGAAGGCGGCCCCCUGGACGAAGACUGACGCUCAGGUGCGAAAGCGUGGGGAGCAAACAGG
rnacentral:rRNA from 1 species